rnacentral:rRNA from 1 species
GAUGAACGCUGGCGGCGUGCCUAAUACAUGCAAGUCGAGCGAACAGACGAGGAGCUUGCUCCUCUGACGUUAGCGGCGGACGGGUGAGUAACACGUGGAUAACCUACCUAUAAGACUGGGAUAACUUCGGGAAACCGGAGCUAAUACCGGAUAAUAUAUUGAACCGCAUGGUUCAAUAGUGAAAGACGGUUUUGCUGUCACUUAUAGAUGGAUCCGCGCCGCAUUAGCUAGUUGGUAAGGUAACGACUUACCAAGGCAACGAUGCGUAGCCGACCUGAGAGGGUGAUCGGCCACACUGGAACUAAGACACGGUCCAGACUCCUACGGGAGGCAGCAGUAGGGAAUCUUCCGCAAUGGGCGAAAGCCUGACGGAGCAACGCCGCGUGAGUGAUGAAGGUCUUCGGAUCGUAAAACUCUGUUAUUAGGGAAGAACAAAUGUGUAAGUAACUAUGCACGUCUUGACGGUACCUAAUCAGAAAGCCACGGCUAACUACGUG